GAAAUGCGAUAAGAAAUGUGAAUUGCAGAAUUCAGUGAAUCAUCGAAUCUUUGAACGCACAUUGCGCCCCCUGGUAUUCCGGGGGGCAUGCCUGUUCGAGCGUCAUUUCACCACUCCAGCCUCGCUUGGUAUUGGGCGACGCGGUCCGCCGCGCGCCUCAAAUCGACCGGCUGGGUCUUUCGUCCCCUCAGCGUUGUGGAAACUAUUCGCUAAAGGGUGCCGCGGGAGGCCACGCCGUAAAACAACCCCAUUUCUAAGGUUGACCUCGGAUCAGGUAGGGAUACCCGCUGAACUUAAGC
rnacentral:misc_RNA from 1 species